rnacentral:snRNA from 1 species
AUUCUUGUGCUCGGGCACGUACUGUCGCCAGUGAGGUCUUUACCGAGGCACAGUCUUUUGCUGAUUGCAAAUUACACAUCCGAACACGUCUGUCGGCUUCGGCCUUCAGCAAUUUUUGGAAAACCCUCAC